rnacentral:rRNA from 1 species
UACGUAGGGGGCAAGCGUUGUCCGGAUUCAUUGGGCGUAAAGGGCGCGUAGGCGGCCUUCUAAGUCGAACGUGAAAUCCCCGGGCUCAACCCGGGAACUGCGUCCGAUACUGGAAGGCUUGAAUCCGGGAGAGGGAUGCGGAAUUCCAGGUGUAGCGGUGAAAUGCGUAGAUAUUCGCAAGAACACCAGUGGCGAAGGCGGCUCACUGGCCCGGUACUGACGCUGAGGUGCGAAAGCGUGGGGAGCAAACAGG